UGCCAGCAGCCGCGGUAAUACGGAGGGUGCAAGCGUUGCUCGGAAUCACUGGGCGUAAAGCGUACGCAGGCGGUUCAUUAAGUCGGGUGUGAAAGCCCAGGGCUCAACCCUGGAACUGCAUUCGAAACUGGUGAACUUGAGUACGGGAGAGGGAAGCGGAAUUCCUGGUGUAGAGGUGAAAUUCGUAGAUAUCAGGAGGAACACCCGUGGCGAAAGCGGCUUCCUGGCCCGAUACUGACGCUCAUGUACGAAAGCGUGGGGAGCAAACAGGAUUAGAAA
rnacentral:rRNA from 1 species